rnacentral:tRNA from 1 species
GCGUCGGUGGUCCAACGGUUACGAUUCGACAUUCCCACUACAUCGGAAUUAAACCGACAUUGAACAAUGUCGAGAACCGGGUUCGACUCCCGGCCGUCGCA